rnacentral:rRNA from 1 species
AGCAAUCUGUGUGACUGCGUACCUUUUGUAUAAUGGGUCAGCGACUUAUAUUCUGUAGCAAGGUUAACCGAAUAGGGGAGCCGAAGGGAAACCGAGUCUUAACUGGGCGUUAAGUUGCAGGGUAUAGACCCGAAACCCGGUGAUCUAGCCAUGGGCAGGUUGAAGGUUGGGUAACACUAACUGGAGGACCGAACCGACUAAUGUUGAAAAAUUAGCGGAUGACUUGUGGCUGGGGGUGAAAGGCCAAUCAAACCGGGAGAUAGCUGGUUCUCCCCGAAAGCUAUUUAGGUAGCGCCUCGUGAAUUCAUCUCCGGGGGUAGAGCACUGUUUCGGCAAGGGGGUCAUCCCGACUUACCAACCCGAUGCAAACUGCGAAUACCGGAGAAUGUUAUCACGGGAGACACACGGCGGGUGCUAACGUCCGUCGUGAAGAGGGAAACAACCCAGACCGCCAGCUAAGGUCCCAAAGUCAUGGUUAAGUGGGAAACGAUGUGGGAAGGCCCAGACAGCCAGGAUGUUGGCUUAGAAGCAGCCAUCAUUUAAAGAAAGCGUAAUAGCUCACUGGUCGAGUCGGCCUGCGCGGAAGAUGUAACGGGGCUAAACCAUGCACCGAAGCUGCGGCAGCGACGCUUAUGCGUUGUUGGGUA